rnacentral:rRNA from 1 species
CUGAAGUAGGUCCCAAGGGUAUGGCUGUUCGCCAUUUAAAGUGGUACGCGAGCUGGGUUUAGAACGUCGUGAGACAGUUCGGUCCCUAUCUGCCGUGGGCGCUGGAGAAUUGAGGGGGGCUGCUCCUAGUACGAGAGGACCGGAGUGGACGCAUCACUGGUGUUCGGGUUGUCAUGCCAAUGGCACUGCCCGGUAGCUAAAUGCGGAAGAGAUAAGUGCUGAAAGCAUCUAAGCACGAAACUUGCCCCGAGAUGAGUUCUCCCUGAGACUUUAAGUCUCCUGAAGGAACGUUGAAGACGACGACGUUGAUAGGCCGGGUGUGUAAGCGCAGCGAUGCGUUGAGCUAACCGGUACUAAUGAACCGUGAGGCUUAACCUUACAACGCCGAAG